rnacentral:rRNA from 1 species
GAUGAACGCUAGCUACAGGCUUAACACAUGCAAGUCGAGGGGAAACGAUAUUGGAAGCUUGCUUCCGAUAGGCGUCGACCGGCGCACGGGUGAGUAACGCGUAUCCAACCUGCCCGUCACUUGGGAAUAACCUUGCGAAAGUAAGACUAAUGCCCAAUGACAUUUAUAGAAGGCAUCUGAAAUGAAUUAAAGAUUUAUCGGUGAUGGAUGGGGAUGCGUCUGAUUAGCUUGUUGGCGGGGUAACGGCCCACCAAGGCGACGAUCAGUAGGGGUUCUGAGAGGAAGGUCCCCCANAUUGGAACUGAGACACGGUCCAAACUCCUACGGGAGGCAGCAGUGAGGAAUAUUGGGUCCAAUGGACGAGAGUCUGAACCAGCCAAGUAGCGUGCAGGAUGACGGCCCUAUGGGUUGUAAACUGCUUUUAUAAGGG